CACUUCUCUCACCGGUGUGGCAAAGCCAGCCCUCCUUCUCCGGCCUGUUCGCUGUUUUUACGGUUUACAGCAGUGGCUCCCAGCCCUGUUCCUGGAGAUCUGCCUUCCUGGAGGUUUUCACUGCCCUAAUUUGGCGCACGCGAUUCUGCUAAUUAGCAGCUCACGGCGUUCUCUAGCUCAGGGGUGGGCGAUUCUGGUCCUGGAGGGCUGCUGUGUGUGCAGGCUUUUGUUUCCACCAAUUACUCAGGCUAAAUGAGCUGAUUAUCUGUAUACGCCAACACUGGUUCACUCGCAGAUUAGAUCACAGUGAACCGUUUCAUGCAGGUCCACGAACGGUCUCCAGCUGUCACUCAUGCGCUCCUCAGCAAAUGAAGCUAAAAAUGUCAGUUGGCAUAAAUGUUCGGGCUGAUUGAGUAAUUAAGGCGGGAACUUGGCGUGAAAACCAGAAAUGGAUUCGGCCCUGGCUGCCCUUCUCUGCUCUAGCAGUUGAAUGAGGUGAGCUUUGUUAGGGUUGGAGUGAAAACCUACAGGAUGGUAGAUCUCUAGCUGUUGAAUGAGGAGUGCUUUGUUAGGGUUGUAGUGAAAACCUACAGGACGGUAGAUCUCUAGCUGUUGAAUGAGGUGUGCUUUGUUUGGGUUGGAGUGAAAACCUACAGGACGGUAGAUCUCUAGCAGUUGAGUGAGGUGUGCUUUGUUGGAGUGAAAUCCAAACAGGAUGGUAGAUCUCCAGGAACAGGGUCCAUUCAAAGUUAUCAGCACUGUCUCUGCAUCCAGUUCAGAUCUGGAGUAAAAAAAACUGCGUGUAAGGUUUGGAGAGGAGUCUAUCGGCACUGUGAUCCUAAAAUGAAAUUGGGUUUUAGCAGCCUAAGUCUGGGGUCUGCAACCCUGGUCUGGCAAAGCCACAGGCUCUGCUGGUUUUCAUUCUUCCUGUAAACUUAAUUAGACCGUUGAGCUGGUUGCUAUUUGUAUGGAAACGGUGCCCUCUACAGGUCAGAAAGUGUUAGUGGCGUACAGGGAGCUGAAGAACACUGCAAAAAGAAAAAAGUAAGUCAAUCAUAAUAAGCAUUUUAUUCUUAUAGUUAGACUAAAAAAUAAGAGAAAAAGAUUGCCAAUGAUGGUGAGAGUUUUACUCAUUCCAAGAUUUACCAAUGGCGGAAGAUAGUUGUACUUAUCAAAGAAAAGUCACUAAAA